UAAAAUUUUGUUGGUUCAUUGUUUUACUUUUAUGCCCUUGUAAUAAAUAUUCAACCAUUACUCUUAUUUUGAAGAAACAACAUUCAAUAUCAUUAUUUUUAUCACCACAUUUAAUGUUGUUGUAUUCUAUUUGGUUAAAGUUUAUGGAUUUUAAUGGUCAAUACACGUUAAUCAAUGAAGUUGAGAGUUCCAGUGUGAUAAGUAAGGAGUAAUUAACUUAUUCAUUAAUUCCAUAUUAAGGGGUAUAUGUGAAAAAUUUAUGUUAAAAAUUGUCACUUAACUAAUUUUCUUAAACUAUGUGCCAAAAGAAAUCAGCCUAUAACUAUGGGACGGAGGGAGUCAUGAUUUUUAAUUUUUAAAAGAAAAUAUUAUUUUUAAAAUAAUAAUAAUUUUAAAAAUUUUAGUUUUUCUUUAAAAAAAAUAAUUGGUGAAAUUGUGGUCGGGUCAAAAUGGAUCGGGUUGGGGUCAAAUAGGGUAAAAGGAAUAGAAUUGACAAAUAAAGUUACUUUAAGGACUUAAUUGACGAAAAAUAAACUUUAGGGAUGACUGUAAAAGUGGACGACAACUUUGAGGGUUAAAAGUGUCAUUCAACCUUUUUUGAGUUUCACCAAAAGGAGCAAAAAGUAAAAUAAUUUGCCAUCUAUCCCUAUGAAGAAUCCAUGUGACUACCAACAGGCACAAGUUUAAUGGAGUUUGUCAAUAUAUUUUCAGCGCUCAAACCCCACCAGCACUCAACAAAUAAUUUUCGGAUUUGUCACUUGCAGUUUGUCGAUAUAUUUUUCAAUGUUCUUUGCUGUACUACCCUUGGAUUUGAGUUACCAAGAAUAUAGAAAAAGUCUUUGUUUUUUUUUGCCCUUUACUUCAGUUUGAUCUCAGGUAGGGUUCAAAUACCAUGGUGUGAAGAAGCCUUGAUGUUUCUCAGGUAGGUAUAGAGAGAGAACUAUACAUAUAUAGCUCUCUCUCUCUCUAUAUAUAUAUCUAGGGUAAAACUGUUCUUGGAGUAAAACUGAGCAGAGAUCUACUUUCUAUUUGCCCCUAUUUGAGAUUAUUUUCUGAUCCAUUCAUAAGAAUGGGAUAAAGAUCUCUUAUGGAUUCACCCCCAAAUAAAUGUCUCUCUAGGAAGAAACUUUAAAGUUGGUAUUUUUUUUGGUGUGUGCGCGCGCAUCAAGUCAGAUAAGUAGUUUUUAUAUUAAAAUUUGAAGAAAUAAUAUAUUACCAUCUAGGUUUUAGUUAAUAUGUAGAUCUUAUGAAAUUUGUGCCUGUUACACACUUUUGCAUUUAUGUCUGGAUUAAACAUUAAUUCUUCCUUGUAGAAGGUGAAGAGUAGCCCAAAAAGUGUUCAAAUUAGAACAUAUGAAAGGGCAGAUUUUGUUGUGUGAGAAAGAGAGGAGCGAGAAAGUCCUAGAUGUCUAAACUCUAAAGUAAAAAACCCUAGCUAGGGCUAGGUAGAUCUCCACUCAUUGUAUAAUGUAACCCUAGCCAUCUUAAAUUGAGGGAUUGAUUAUUAUUGGUAUCUGAAUGACCACGCAGGUUAUCUAGCUACAGCACUAAAAUCCCAUUAGCUGCCCAUUUCUUUUUCAUUACAUAUAUAGAUCUGAUGGCAAGAUUGGUAUUUUCUACUUAUUUAAAUACAUACAUAUAUUCAUUACUAUUACUAUUACUGGUUGAACAUAUAUAUACAAAUUUGAGAUAGAAGUUGUUGGUAAAAAAAGGUAAGAAUUAGUUGUACCAUUUAUGUUCAUGAGGUUUGCUAAAAUUACUAUUUAUUGGUUGAACAUACAUACUAUAUUUAUGUAUGUAUCUGUGUGCGUGUGUGCACUACAAUAUAAAGUCCAUAUGAGACCUGUUGAAUGCACUGAUUUAGGGUAUCAAUGGAAACUUGGCUAAACUUGGUCUCUUCUAUAUCAAAUAUAUGCUUGUAAACUACACACAGGAACUGAUCAAAAUGUUGGGAUUUCACAUGAAUCCCACAUCGGUUAAAUUCAAGAGUGUAGAUGGCUUAAUAAGUAUGGUAGAACAUCAACCUAAUAGGUUAACUUUUUAGGUAAGGAGGUGGUCCAACAUACUUAUUGGGCUCGUCUACACAGGUGUGCGCUGCUAAGGUGAUGAAUAGAUGUGGGAUGGAUCGUUCAAUUCGCUACAAGUGGUAUCAGAGCCCAUGGUUCGGUGGGAGUCCAAGUAUCAACUUCAAGGUGCGAGGGGGUGCGCAAGAGGUACAAUUCGCAGGCCUCGUGGGUGGAGUAAAUAGAGUUGAAUCAGGUGGAGCACGGCCUCGUGUCAGGUGGAGCACGGGAGCCUCGUGUCAGGUGGAGCACGGGAUGAUUUGAGUCGGGUGGAGCGGGCUUAAGUAGGCUCUAGGGAAAUUGCUGAGACACCCAGGACGUGGUGGAGUAAUAUUAGAGUCAAGCAAGGCUCUUGAAGGACUCAAAAAGUAUUUGAAUCGGGUGGAGCAUGGCUCGGGAUGGCUCUAGAAAAAACUGCUGGGAGUAGUAUUAGAGUCGAGCAUAGAGCUCUUGAAGGAUUCAAAGAAGGUGUGCUUAAUGAUAAGAUACUCUAGUAUGAUACUUGUGAUGGGUAUUCAAGUGAAAGGUGGAGAUUGUUGGGAUUUCACAUGAAUCCCACAUCGGUUAAAUUCAAGAGUGUAGAUAGCUUAAUAAGUAUGGUAGAACAUCAACCUAAUAGGUUAACCUUUUAGGUAAGGAGGUGGUCCAACAUACUUAUUGGGCUCGUCUACACAGGUGUGCGUUGCUAAGGUGAUGAAUAGAUGGGGGAUGGAUCGUUCAAUUCGCUACACAAAAUAUCAUGGUGGUAUGGUUUUGACCUAACAGCUCUCCUAGCAGAACCAUAAAUGAUCUCAUUUUAACAACACAUAUGGGCAGGUUUAACCGAACCGAGUCAAUUGGGAAUUUUUGGGAGGAUUCCCUUGGGCAACAGGGAGCCCUAAAAAUAUAAAGAAAAAAUAAAACAUUUGUGGGCUACUAUACAAUCAUUAAUAAAUUUUACUAUGUCCCAUUUUCUUUUUGACACCAAGCAGUUGUAAAAUUAAUUAUCUGCAGCAUCAGCCACAAGCAGCAAAAGCAUUAGUUCCUAAGAGUAAUUAAUUAAAAUAAAUAGUUGUUCUAGCUAGUAAAGAUUCAAAGCGCAACCUGCAUGCCAUCAAGCUAAAAUCUAGCCACUAGGUUUUUGUGAGUUUAGGUUAAAAUUAUCUUUCAAAACUGAAGUUUUAUGUGCGUAUAAAUUAAAGCUCCUAAAAACCUUUGUUCAGCCAUUGGCAUGUCCACCGGAAAAUGAAGCUGCCAAGUAUUUUCAAUAUUCCUUUAACGUCUCAUCCGCGAAAAGCAAGUGUACUGCUUUUACGAGACAGCCUCAUCAGUCGGUACAUUUCUAACCUCACCAAAAUGGCCUGGCAAGGCUUAAUACAUGUUCGUUUGUCUGUCGUUGCAUAACACAUGAUCAAAAAGCAUGAAGUGAAAUACUCCAUUUCGAAAAAUUCCAUUUUUUUUGUUUAUUACCAUAUUUGUUAUAUAACACAACAUAUAUUAUGAAAACAUAUCUAAAAUACGAGAAAGAGGACUUGACAGGUGACCUACUUUUGCCUCACUAAGGAUCCAAUUGAGGGAUUUCUGAGAAGCAACCUAGAC
rnacentral:lncRNA from 1 species